rnacentral:rRNA from 1 species
GACGUAGGGCGCGAGCGUUGUCCGGAUUUAUUGGGCGUAAAGAGCUCGUAGGCGGCUUGUUGCGUCGACCGUGAAAACCCGGGGCUCAACUUCGGGCUUGCGGUCGAUACGGGCGGGCUAGAGUUCGGUAGGGGAGACUGGAAUUCCUGGUGUAGCGGUGAAAUGCGCAGAUAUCGGGAAGAACACCCGUGGCGAAGGCGGCUCUCUGGAACGCAACUGACGCUGAGGCGCGAAAGCGUGGGGAGCAAACAGG